rnacentral:rRNA from 1 species
CCUACGGGUGGCAGCAGUGGGGAAUAUUGGUCAAUGGGGGGAACUCUGAUCCAGCGACGCCGCGUGAGUGAAGACGUAUCUCGGUAUGUAAAGCUCUUUCAGCAGGGAAGAAAGACAUGACGGUACCUGACUAAGAAGCCUCGGCUAACUACGUGACAGCAGCCGCGGUAAUACGUAGGGGGCAAGCGUUAUCCGGAUUUACUGGGUGUAAAGGGAGCGUAGACGGCGAUGCAAGUCUGAAGUGAAAGGCGGGGGCCCAACCCCUGGACUGCUUUGGAAACUGUAUGGCGUGAGUGCAGGUGAGGUAAGUGGAAUGCCUAGUGUAGCGGUGAAAUGCGUAGAGAUUAGGAGGAACACCAGUGGCGAAGGCGGCUUACUGGACUGUAACUGACGUUGAGGCUCGAAAGCGUGGGGAGCAAACAGGAUUAGAUACCCGAGUAGUC